rnacentral:tRNA from 1 species
GGGGUUGUAGCUCAGUGAUAGAGUGCUUGCCUGGCAUGUGUGAGGUCCUGGGUUCGAUCCUCAGCACCA